rnacentral:rRNA from 1 species
UACGAAGGGGGCUAGCGUUGCUCGGAAUCACUGGGCGUAAAGCGCACGUAGGCGGCUUGUUAAGUCAGGGGUGAAAUCCUGGAGCUCAACUCCAGAACUGCCUUUGAUACUGGCGAGCUUGAGUCCGGGAGAGGUGAGUGGAACUGCGAGUGUAGAGGUGAAAUUCGUAGAUAUUCGCAAGAACACCAGUGGCGAAGGCGACUCACUGGACAUGUAUUGACGCUGAGGUGCGAAAGCGUGGGGAGCAAACAGG